AAACUACUCCCUCCGUUCGGAAUUACUUGUCGUAGAAAUGGAUGUAUUUAGAUAAUUUUUAGUUCUAGAUACAUCCAUUUCUGCGACAAGUAAUUCGGAACGGAGGGAGUAGUUC
rfam:Triticum aestivum genome assembly, contig: Triticum_aestivum_CS42_TGACv1_scaffold_342960_4DL